GAUUAAAAUGCAUAAACCCUAUAAAAUAAAUGCUUGAACAAUUAAUGCAUACAUGGCCUAAGAGCUUCAAAUAGCUCACUUCACUAUCCAUGGCCCUCUUCUUCCCAGACUAGCAAUGAAUAAACUGUCAGAAGGAGAAGAGAACAUACUUGUUCUACAAAGUGAGCUAGCCGGGUUUGUGCGCUCAAGAACCUCUGAAUAAAGGCGUUAAUGGCUUUGGAUCGGCCAGUCAAAGUCAUUCCAGCUAGAAAAUGGCUUCUCAGGUAUGGUAAAGACCACAAGGAACGUGAGGCAUACAAGUUAUUUAUGUGUCUGUUUGUGUGUAGUCCAAAAGAGUUCACCAUGUCUCUCCAACCCAACUCGAACUCCUCAACGGAUUCCAGAUGGUAGAGGCGAUAGAAUUCAGCUUUCCAGUCGUUGUACCGCUCCCCAAGACCGGCAUUAAACCAGGAUGGAAACUUUCCAACAACCAUCCAUAUGCAGAGUGCAUGCUUAGUGGCUGGCAUCUCUCCAGCUAUGGCUUCUUUGAGACACAUAUUAUGGUCUGUUAAUAUCGUUUGAGGUGCCUUCCCAUUCAUGAACCCUGUGAAUGCCUUCCAUAUGAGACAAAAUUAAAGAGUGUCAGAGUAGAAACAAAUUGAUUUGCUUAUUUGCCCUACCCACAGACACUUGCCAAGAAUUUAAAACAGAAAUAAGUGGAAAAGGAACUUAAUCAGCUUAGUGUGCCACUUUGUUACCUGUAGUGCCCAUGACCACGAUCUCAAAUUUUCAUCCCGUAGAAGCACACAACCGAAGAAGCAAGGCACACCAUAGUUAUUAACUCCAACCCAUAUUCCAAGUGGCAUCUCGACUGCACUUAAGCGAUGUGUUGUAUCGAAAACUACAGCAUCUCCAAAGAUUUCAUAUGACUGAAUGGAAGAAGCAUAUGACCAGGCAAUAUUUUCUAACUUAUCAUUUGCAUCCAAGGUAAACUCGAACUUAAAGUUAGGGUCUUUCUCCUUUAUGCUUUGGCACAUCCUCAGGAAAUCAAUGUUCUCAUCCUCAGGAUCAAGUUUCUUGAAUGACUGAAGCAAAUUCCUGACAUCCUUUUCGGUGAAUGGUAAAAAUCCUGGCUCAACACACUUCUCAAGCUCCAAGAGCCUCAUCAUCUGCUGAACUGAAAUUCCAGUCUUGGAAAACAUCAAAAUCCGACUUUUAUCUGCAUCUGAUAUGGACCUGUAUGCAGGAAGAAAACGAACUUGAUUUGGUUCUAGGAGCUCAUGAUUGUGGUGAUUAGCAAAACCCGUAACACGCCAUUCCGUUGAACCUAACUCAGUAAGUUUACUAAUUCUUAAGUAUGCUUGACAUCCGCAUCGAGAAGACCUUCUGUUUCUCUGUGGUUUUCCUUCACUUAGAGUUUUGAUAGGUGUGUUACCAGCACGAUGACAAACAAAGUAGCGCCUCGUAAGUCCUUUGCCAACUCCGUCUUUUCCUUCUGUCCUGUGACGGCGUAUGGAGAACCCGCAACGCUUUGCAAAUGUACUAUAGAACUCGUAAGCAGCAUCAUGUGUGAGAAAUAUUUGUCCGAGAUAUGGAAUGGCAUUGUGAACUGCUUCUAAAGAGAGAGUGGUCUCGUCUGGAGAUUCCUCAGUACUACUAGCAUCGUCCAAAGACAGGGAUCGCUGAUCUGAAGGAUCAUCAUAGAUGAGCAACAUCUGUCCAGGAUCAUCCGACAUUUAGCUCCUAAGGUAUAUUCAGCACUUUGCCUGACAAGCACAUAACAAGAGCACUUAUGAGACUCUGUAACAUUACUAUCUACAAUAACCAGAUAAUCUGCAAUGAAGUGCUACAUAAUGUUCGCAGAAUCAUGUCAGCUUAAAAAUGAUUGUGGAAAGCAACCAAUUGACGAUACUUAAGAAUUCACAGUGCCACUGCCACAUGGAUUACAAGCUUUAAACUCAUGAGUACGAAGCUAGAAAGAUUGAAUUUUUAAUGUAAUUUGGAGAUUUCGAAGCUAACUCAAUUCGAAUUCUCCGAGAUCAAUGGCAAUUACAAGAUGGGUUAUUCAUAAUUUGAAAGUCGCUGUAUUCGAAACGUUUGAAAUCAAUCACAAGAAGAGAAGUUUUCAAUAAAACUCGCAUGAUUCGAAUUCCAAUUUCGUUAAGAAAAUGGAAGUCCUGAUAGAAAUGCGUGAAGAGAAUAGAAAUAGAGAAGUUGCAAGAGAUAGAGAAAGAGAGUACACUACUGAAUUUAAGCUGGCGAACAGAGUCUUGCGAAGGAGAAGCCCUAAUUUGCGCAGGCAAGUGACAAUAAUCCUUUCCUUUCUCCUACGCAUCUUGUUAUCUUACGCCUCUUCUCUACUCGUCUUUAUAACAACAUUACACGUACUACCAAACAGCCCCCAUUUAUCAAUACGAUGUCGUCCGUUAAUUUUCAUUUCGAUAUUAUUUUUGUUAAUAAAAUCCCAUUUCUUCUCAGUUUCUCACAUCCCUCGACUACGGUUACCCGAACCGAGCCGGUUAUUUCGGUUCUUAGAAAUUUGGAUCGGAUUACUCCGUUUUAACUUUGUUGCGUUUCUAUUGGGCUUUCGUCUAUUUUUUACCGGCCCAUAGUUUAGGGCUCUGAGUUUGGACAAACCAUUGAUAAGCUUGCGCUCUUGUGUCUUUGGAGGUUUGUUUCCCUUUUAUGUAUCUGAUCAACUCAAUCUUUUUAGGUUUGAAAAUAAUAAGAUCCUGACCCCGAGUAAAAAUUAUGCAGGGUUUGGCGACUUCCACCGAUCGUGUCUCGCUUUCAUUCUUCGCUCCCAGGUUUUUUUCUUCUUCAGUUGAACGUGAUUAAGGUUUGCAACAGUUGAUUUUUGUUUUGUUUUGUUAAAGAGGUAUUGCAACAAAUUAUUUAGAGUUACGGCUCAGGGACUAUAUAACUUAUAACACUAGUUUGUGAUCAUAUAUCACACGUUAUCUAUGUAAAUAUAUUGCUGUGUUUUGCCAGGAAUCAGAGUAAAACACACACGAAACCAACAAGAGUGUGUUUCUUCAAUGUUGGUCCAUUCCCAAAAUCAAAAAUCUUGAGACAGAUUGUUCCUCUUCUAGGUAUUAUGUGUUUAAACCUUUCUUCAUAUAUAGCACUGCAAACUAAUGUCUAGAAUAUCUGCAGCAAAUGACUUUGCAACUUCACCAUCGUGGAGACUACCAAGGCGUGUGACAGCAUCUGCAGACAAAAACUCAAUCUCCCCGGUAGCAGAAAACAGAUUGCAAAACAGGUUGUUCAUGGUGUAUUGCUGCCUAGGGUUCAUGUGGAUGGUGAAGAAAGAAUUUUUGCCUCAUUACUUUAGGUUUCACAUGAUUAUGGGAUUGCUUCUAGAAGCAUGUGAAUUCUUCCCUUGGAUUAACAUAAAUGGUAGUUUAAGGGUGUAUUACACGAUACUGGUGAUGGGAUUUAGUUGCACACUCACCCUUGUUGACAUAUUAUGGUGGGCUGCCCCUAAAAUCGCCCUCUGUUUUGUUGGUGCUGGAAUGGCAUUUGUACAACUUUGUAAGGUUUUAGGAUUAUCUUAGAUGGUUUUAAGUCAUAUAUGAUGAUGGUGUCUAGUUGCACACAUGUCCUUGUUUAUAUUACGGUGAGCUUUUUUCUAGUUAUCCUUCAAUAGAAUCUUUUUUUUAUACCUUUGAAAAUCCCAACAAUAAAGUCUUGUUUCAUUUCAAAUUCGGUUGUUAUCCCAUUGUUGUGUGUGUGUGUUAGCAAGGUCCAAAAACCGAUCCCAGCUGUAAACGAAAGAAACUCACUUCGAUAUCCAACGAGAUGGAUUGUAUUUGGUUUACAAUGUGAAAAGCAAACCAAACUGAGCAGAACAUGAGAGGCAAUACGUUCUUCAUAUCUAGUUGGGAGAGAACAGAGUAAGGGAAAGACAACAGUACUAAGGGAGUUACAGAGUGAGCUACUGGGUACUCUACGACUGUUAGCUUUUACGUUCUCAUAUUUUACAAUGACCAGGUGUGCUUUCUCAAUCAAAAACUGUAUUUAUUUGAUUACCUACUUAGCACCUUUACACGUACGGUACCAUUUCAUGAGAUUAAAAUGCAUAAACCCUAUAAACUAAAUACUUGAACAAUUAAUGCAUAGAUGGCUGAUACAGAAAAACUCAACAAUCUCACAAAUGAAAUCGAACGAUAGAUUGAAUCGAUGUUCAUAAAACACAGAUCCACUUCUCAAAUUGCUAGAGCAUAGAAGAAGAAACAGCUCAAGCUACAAUGAGGAAAUAGCCAUGAGAAUCCUCAGAGAAUUCUCAGAGAAACAGAAAACUCAAAAGAAAGAACAACAAACUUCACAAUUUUCACGAUAAAAUCUAAUUCUGAUCUUCAUCUUCCUUUUAAACACCAACACCCACUUGCUUAUAAUCUUGACCGUUGAUUCUUCCUUCCAUCUCCACCGUCCACGUGUCCCUUUAUCAUACUCUUCUUUAUACUAUAUCAAAUCCUUCCUCCCCAAACAACCAUGCCCUCAUGGUUGAUAAGAAAGAUCUUGCUGCAACAAUUCAUACAGCUUCUCCAUAUUUGACCACUUAAUCAGAACCACAACAAUCACCAUGAUUGGUAUCGAAGCUUGACUGCUACAAAGACAAAGCAUACGCUUUUUUUUUUUUUUUUUUUUUUUUUUUUUUUUUUUUUGUGAAUUUGUGCACAAGAAGUUUGCACUGCUUCUUGACUCCACGACGGAUUUGUAACCACAUUCGUUGUGACAGUGUAAGUGACUAGUUCCAUUAGGAUUAGAACCCGUUUUGAAUUUGAACAUCCAAGACUUUGGAGAUAGUCUUUGCUUCUGUUUAUGAGACUUGGCACAUGUUGACUGCUCACAAAACUCAGCCACGUCCGAGUGGAAAUCAUCAAAGAGUGGACUCAAAGCUGCUGCUACGACAAGUUGUUGAUCCUGAAGGUGUGCAACAGAAUCUGUCUCCAUUUUUGAAUCCAUUGACUCCAAUUCGAAUUCUGAAAUUGAAUCAGUUUUAACAAACCAUCCUGUCUCCGAUUUCGCAUAAGGAGAACUACCCCCAUGAUCCAUUGCUAAGACAAAAUCUCUAUCACAAUUCAAUUCUUGUUGCUGCACGAAGCUCUCCACAUCAACAAAAAUCACUUGUUGACUUCUUUCUACAUCACCUUCAACCUCAAAUCUUUUAGUAAUGUUCUUUUGAACCAAUUCUUGCUCCAGAUUCUCGUUCAUCACCACAUCUUCUAGAUUUCCCACCCCUAAAUUGACUUCCCUAAGUUCACUACUCCUCAAAAUCUCAGAAUUAGCAAUUGGUACCUGAAAUUGUGGAAUUGAUUCUUCCUCCAAGAUUGCUUCCUGUACCAAAUUUUCGUGAUUCUCCAACUUCAGCUUCUCCUCUGCCUCCAACUCUUUAUCUCUCUUAAGUGGAUGUGCUCGCUCAUACAAUUUUCCAAUCAAGAACAUUGUUGAAUCGUCUGAGGUUGAAACAUCCUAACAUUCUCUUGAGUAUCAGUUCUGAGCCCUGCUAAGUAAAUACUAACCAAAUACGCUUCAGAUAGAUUCACACAUAGAUUCACACGAGACUUGAUCAGCUCAAAUUUUUCAUGAUAAUCUCUAAUUCCAUCUGUUUCCUGUAAUUGUUUCAACUCAACAAUUGGAUCAACCUCCAGCUCCUUAAAUCUGCCUUGCAACAACAUUUUAUAAGUCAUCCAAUCGUGCAUAACAUGCUUCCACAAAACCGAUUGCACCAUCCAUUGAUGCCAAGCAGCAGCAAGAUCAUCAAAAUGGUCAGAUGCGAUCCUUACUUUCAACUCAUCCGGUGUAUGAUCAAUUUCGAAGAACUGUUCAACUUGGAACAACCAUUCUUUGAUUUUAUCACCAUUAAAUCUAGGAAAAUCCAGUUUCGCAAGACGUGUAACACCAGCAUAAGUAUUAGAGUUACCAGAUCGCUUCCCGAAUUCUGGAGCUGGCGAGAAACUAGCCGAUGCUGGUGCAUAUCGAAAUUGAUGAUGAACAUCGGCUUGAUUCGACGGUCUAGAGAACAAAUGAAUCGCUUCGUACAUCUCAACCAUAUGCUUCGUCAUCUUCGAAUUUUGCUCUGCGAUCUUGUUUUCCAACUUUGCGACACGCAAUCCAAGCAGAUCCUCCAUCACUUCCUUCUCUUUCGUCGCUUGAGCUCGCCUUUCCAUUGUUGAAGACCGAGAAUCGUCUUCGCUCUGAUACCUUUGAUAUAGAAAAACUCAACAAUCUCACAAAUGAAAUCGAACGAUAGAUUGAAUCGAUGUUCAUAAAACACGGAUCCACUUCUCAAAUUGCUAGAGCAUAGAAGAAGAAAAAGCUCAAGCUACAAUGAGGAAAUAGCCAUGAGAAUCCUCAGAGAAUUCUCAGAGAAACAGAAAACUCAAAAGAAAGAACAACAAACUUCACAAUUUUCACGAUAAAAUCUAAUUCUGAUCUUCAUCUUCCUUUUAAACACCAACACCCACUUGCUUAUAAUCUUGACCGUUGAUUCUUCCUUCCAUCUCCACCGUCCACGUGUCCCUUUAUCAUACUCUUCUUUAUACUAUAUCAAUGGCCUAAGAGCUUGAAAUAGCUCACUUCACUAUCCAUGGCCCUCUUCUUACUAGACUAGCAAUGAAUUAACACUGUCAGAGUGGAGAAGAGAACAUACUUGUUCUACAAAGUGAGCUAGCAGGAUUUGUGCGCUCAACAACCUUUGAAUAAAGGCGUUAAUGGCUUUCGAUCGGCCAGUCAAAGUCAUUCCAUCUAGAAAAUGGCUUCUCAGGUAUGGUAAAGACCACAAGGAACGUGAGGCAUACAAAUUAUUUAUGUGUCUGCUUGUGUGCAGUCCAAAAGGGUUCACCAUAUCUCUCCAACCCAACUCCAACUCCUCCACGGAUUCCAGAUGGUAGAGGCGGUGGAAUUCAGCUUUCCAGUCGGCAUUAAACCACGAUGGAAACUUUCCAACAACCAUCCAUAUGCAGAGAACAUGCUAAGUGGCUGGCAUCUCUCCAGCUAUGGCUUCUUUGAGACACAUAUUAUGGUCUGUUAAAAUAUCGUUUGAGAUGCUUUCCAUAAGAAAUUAAAGAAUGUCAGAGUAGAAACAACUUUGAUCUGCUUUUUGGAUAUAGGAACUUGUACAAGUAACUUAUACAACAAAUAC
rnacentral:lncRNA from 1 species